AUUAACAUUUGAAAUAAAAUGAAGACGCACCAGUCAACAAAGUCAGCUCCGGUCCUAUUCAGGUGAACCACCGUGGGGCACCACGCCGAAAAUCACCUUCGGUUGCGGUGGCCAUCAGAAAUGGAAAAUGGAACCACCAAAACAACCGUAUCCUCACGCUCAACCCUAAUUUAUCCUCAAUUUCACCAAAUUUCGGGCCUAAAGCCCUAACCGAAUUGAAUAACCUCAAGAACCCUAAAUGCUAAAACAUGAAUUAAACGAUGCUCAAGAGCCAAACAAAGAUCAAACCAUGGGGCUUUGGCUCCCCAGACGAGGCACUACGUUGUGAUGUCCUUAUAUUGGAGAAAAAGAGUGGAAAAGAAUUACCUAAAGGAGUAAUUCUAGUGGUUCUUUGCCGACGAAACAAAGGUUUGGAAGCUUGGGGCAUGUGAUAUGACUUGGCACGACCUAAAUGCAUCAUGGUUGUUGAAUUCAAAAGCAAUGUAGAUGCUUGAGAAUUCUGUCACAAGGAUAAUGAUGGUUGUCAACGCAAACUCAAGACAAACAUAUGGCCUUCCAUCCUUUCUUUCCUUUUGUUUCCAUGUAAAUGCUAUAUAUGUGAUGUAUCAAGAUUGUAAAAAUGAUUCAUGUGAUGCAAUGCUUAUGUACUUACUUAUGUGGUGUGCUUGUAAUAAAACUUCAUUUGUGAUUCAAGUUCAAAGUAA